rnacentral:lncRNA from 1 species
GCAGCGAGAGGCCCGCGCUGAGGGCGGCCAGGGCGCGGCCGGCCGCCGGGAACUCGAGGCGCAGCGUGACGGCGGCGUGCAGCCCCACGGCCGGGCUGUAGCGCGUGAGCUCCAGGAACACAGCGCGGCUCCUGCGCAGAGGGUGCGGGUCAGUAGGAGCGGGUGGCAGGGCGGGAGCUGCGGGGACCGCGCAGUGCAGGCGUGGCUGAGGGGCUGUGGAAGCCGCCUAGGCCAGCGGGGGCCGGAGGAGUGAGGGUGGGCUCCUGGCUGGUGACUGCGGCCACCCCGGAGAGGGCAGGGGAGGGAGCUCCCA